rnacentral:rRNA from 1 species
CCUACGGGUGGCAGCAGUAGGGAAUAUUGCUCAAUGGGGGAAACCCUGAAGCAGCAACGCCGCGUGGAGGAUGAAGGUUUUCGGAUUGUAAACUCCUUUUGUCAGAGAAGAUAAUGACGGUAUCUAACGAAUACGCCCCGGCUAACUCCGUGCCAGCAGCCGCGGUAAUACGGAGGGUGCAAGCGUUACUCGGAAUCACUGGGCGUAAAGAGCGCGUAGGCGGGGUAGCAUGUCAGAUGUGAAAUCCUAUGGCUUAACCAUAGAACUGCAUUUGAAACUGUUGUUCUAGAGUAUGGGAGAGGUAGGUGGAAUUCUUGGUGUAGGGGUAAAAUGCGUAGAGAUCAAGAGGAAUACUCAUUGCGAAGGCGGCCUGCUAGAACGUAACUGACGCUGAUGCGCGAAAGCGUGGGGAGCAAACAGGAUUAGAUACCCGAGUAGUC